UACGUAGGGACCAAGCGUUGUUCGGAUUUACUGGGCGUAAAGGGCGCGUAGGCGGUGCGGUAAGUCACUUGUGAAAUCUCUGAGCUUAACUCAGAACGGCCAAGUGAUACUGCAGUACUAGAGUGCAGAAGGAGCAAUCAGAAUUCUUGGUGUAGCGGUGAAAUGCGUAGAUAUCAAGAGGAAUACCUGAGGUGAAGACGGGUUGCUGGGCUGACACUGACGCUGAGGCGCGAAAGCCAGGGGAGCAAACGGG
rnacentral:rRNA from 1 species